AUUGAACGCUGGCGGCAUGCCUUACACAUGCAAGUCGAACGGUAACGCGGGGCAACCUGGCGACGAGUGGCGAACGGGUGAGUAACGCAUCGGAACGUGCCCAGUAGUGGGGGAUAGCCCGGCGAAAGCCGGAUUAAUACCGCAUACGACCUACGGGUGAAAGGGGGGGAUCGCAAGACCUCUCGCUAUUGGAGCGGCCGAUGUCAGAUUAGGUAGUUGGUGGGGUAAAGGCCUACCAAGCCGACGAUCUGUAGCUGGUCUGAGAGGACGACCAGCCACACUGGGACUGAGACACGGCCCAGACUCCUACGGGAGGCAGCAGUGGGGAAUUUUGGACAAUGGGCGCAAGCCUGAUCCAGCCAUGCCGCGUGCGGGAAGAAGGCCUUCGGGUUGUAAACCGCUUUUGUCAGGGAAGAAACGCGCUGAGUUAAUACCUCGGCGUAAUGACGGUACCUGAAGAAUAAGCACCGGCUAACUACGUGCCAGCAGCCGCCGUAAAAC
rnacentral:rRNA from 1 species